rfam:Oleiphilus sp. HI0069 HI0069_c64, whole genome shotgun sequence.
GGGGACGACAUGGCUUCGACGCUGGUAACAAAACCAAAGGUGCAUGCCGAGUGUAUAGUGGCACUCGUACUCCAAUCGCUAUAACUCAUAGUUGCAAAUGAUGACAACUACGGUGCUCAACUAGCUGCGUAAGCAGUGAAAAAGCACUUUUAGGGCUACGGCCCUAACGGUCUUUAGCAAGGUGCCUGUAUCGCGCUAAUGACUGUCACUCAGAACAGGAUCGCCAAGCGGCUUACUCAGGGUCGUUUCGUUAAACUUUACUGAGCUCGCCAACCACGUCCUGCCCGUUGGGCUGUGGAAGGUUAAACUAAUUAACGGAUUCUAAGCAUGUAGAGCCGAUGGCAGAGUGCUGACGGACGCGGGUUCAAUUCCCGCCGUCUCCACCA